CCUCUCAUGGCGUAGUGGUAACGCGCCCCAACUAGAGAUCGGGGAGUCGUGAGUUCGAUUCUCGCUGAGAAGA
rnacentral:tRNA from 1 species